GUGCGUUCCACCAUGCGGUUCACCAUUUAUUUCCCCAGGAUUUCCGGGUCGGCGGUUUUUGAAGGGAAAUAUAAUUCAUUUGAACUUAUAUUUCCCUUCAAAAACCGCCGACCCGGAAAUCCUGGGGAAAUAAAUGGUGAACCGCAUGGUGGAACGCACAG